rnacentral:rRNA from 1 species
GACGAACGCUGGCGGCGUGCUUAACACAUGCAAGUCGAACGAAGAGCGAUGGAAGCUUGCUUCUAUCAAUCUUAGUGGCGAACGGGUGAGUAACGCGUAAUCAACCUGCCCUUCAGAGGGGGACAACAGUUGGAAACGACUGCUAAUACCGCAUACGAUCUAAACUCGGCAUCGAGGAUAGAUGAAAGGUGGCCUCUACAUGUAAGCUAUCACUGAAGGAGGGGAUUGCGUCUGAUUAGCUAGUUGGAGGGGUAACGGCCCACCAAGGCGAUGAUCAGUAGCCGGUCUGAGAGGAUGAACGGCCACAUUGGGACUGAGACACGGCCCAGACUCCUACGGGAGGCAGCAGUGGGGAAUCUUCCGCAAUGGACGAAAGGCUGACGGAGCAACGCCGCGUGAGUGAUGACGGCCUUCGGGUUGUAAAGCUCUGUUAAUCGGGACGAAAGGCCUUCUUGCGAAUAGGGAGAAGGAUUGACGGUACCGGAAGAGAAAGCCACGGCUAACUACGUG